CGGACGGGUGAGUAACGCGUGAGAAUCUGGGUUUAGGAUGGGGACAACAGUAGGAAACUGCUGCUAAUACCCGAUGUGCCGGAAAGUGAAAAAUUUAUUGCCUGAAAAUGAGCUCGCGUCCGAUAGCUAGUUGGUAGUGUAAAAGACUACCAAAGGGACGAUCGGUAGCUGGUCUGAGAGGAUGACCAGCCACACUGGGACUGAGACACGGCCCAGACUCCUACGGGAGGGAGCAGUGGGGAAUUUUUCGCAAUGGGGGAAAACCUGACGGAGCAAAACCGCGUGAGGGAGGAAAGGUCUUGGGUUGUAAACCUCUUUUUUCUGGGAAAAAACUCUGACGGUACCAGAGGAAUCAGCAUCGGGUAACUCCGUGCCAGCAGCCGCGGUAAUACGGAGGAUGCAAACGUUAUCCGGAAUUAUUGGGGGUAAAACGUCCGUAGGUGGGUUUUUAAAUCUGCCGUUAAAACCAGUGGGUUAACCACUGAAUAGCGGUGGAAACUGAACAGCUAGAGUGUGGUAGGGGUAGAGGGAAUUUCCAGUGUAGCGGUGAAAUGCGUAGAGAUUGGGAAAAACACCGGUGGGGAAAACGCUCUGCUGGACCACAACUGACACUCACAGGACGAAAACUAGGGGAGCGAAAAGGAUUAGAUACCCCUGUAGUCCUAGCCGUAAACGAUGGAUACUAGGUGUUGUGAGUAUCGACCCUCACAGUGCCGGAGCCAACGCGUUAAAUAUCCCGCCUGGGGAGUACGCACGCAAAUGUGAAACUCAAAAGAAUUGACGGGGGGCCGCACAAACGGUGGAGUAUGUGGUUUAAUUUGAUGCAACGCGAAAAACCUUACCAGGGGUUGACAUGUCGCGAAUCUUUUUGAAAAGGAAAAGUGCCUUUGGGAGCGCGAACACAGGUGGUGCAUGGGUGUCGUCAGCUCGUGUCGUGAGAUGUUGGGUUAAAUCCCGCAACGAGCGCAACCCUCGUCUUUAGUUGCCAGCAUUUAGUUGGGGACUCUGAAAAGACUGCCGGUGAAACCGGAGGAAAGUGGGGAUGACGUCAAAUCAGCAUGCCCCUUACGUCCUGGGGUACACACGUACUACAAUGCGACGGACAAAAAGCAGCUAAACAGCGAUGUUAAACUAAUCUCAUAAACCGUGGGUCAGUUUAGAUUGUAGGGUGCAACUCGCCUACAUGAAGGGGGAAUCGCUAGUAAUCCCAGGUCAGCAUACUGGGGUGAAUUUGUUUCCGGGGCUUGUACACACCGCCCGUCACACCAUGGGAGUUGGGCACGCCCGAAAUCGUUAUCC
rnacentral:rRNA from 1 species